UCGGCCUCACAAAGUGCUGGGAUACAGGCGUGAGCCACCGCGCCCGGCCCGAAACCCACAAGAUUUUUAAGGGCGUUGUAUCAGUUUCAAUGAACAGAGAUGGAGAGUUGAAAAUGCAGCCGUUGGGUUCCCUCCUUCUGCAGGCAGUAAGCAGCUAAGAAAGCUGCUUAGCCUCAAAUACAGGCUAUCGGACAUCUAAAAACAGAGGAGACAGACCAAGGGCAGAGCCAAAAUCUGAGGGAAAAAAAAGGAUAAUAAUGUCACUUCCAGGGAAAAUGGGGCCCUAAAAAGACACAGACUCUGCCCCCUUAAUGAGGUCCCUUGGCAACAUGCUGUUGACUGAGUCACAAAAGUACUACAGACUGGGGGCUGCAGUGAGUGAGCCCCCACCUCUCUCUUUUUCAAACGAGAGAGUUAUUGUGCUUAUCCUGGCCCUGUCUUAAAAUCCCGUGCUGGGGCAGAGGCAGGUAUUUUUUCUUUAGCUUAUAGCCUCAAAAGGCAUCUCACACACAUCCGGACCAGAGGAGAAUCAUGAGCUGACGGCCUCUGAGCUGAGACAGCAGCAGGAAGAGACCUCUGGGUGGCUUGAGUCGGGGGUGGCGAGCAUAUUUCACUUGUGGAAGGAAAGGAUUUAUUCCUCAGCCUGUGUGUGUGAUCUGCGCUCUCAGAUCGUCUCUACGUCCUGGACGUCUGAUGUUUCACGUCAUGCCUGGAUGUAGGUCGUUCCUUCCAUCUUUGUGUGAGAUAUCGUUCCAGGAUCUGCAUUUCUUUGUGGCUGACAGCGGCUGCCUGCUGUUUCUGGUGGCCCUCAGUCAGCUGACGCUCCUUGUGUGCUUGAGGAUCUUUGCAAGCUGAGUGCCUGACUGACGAGCAGGGAUGAGGCUAAGCCCGGUAAGCUUCCUUCAGGGAGCAGGUGCUUUGACCGCUACUGGUACCUGGAAGGUCACCUUCAGCUGACCUGAGGAUCUUGGCUCAGCAUGGGAGACACAGGCUCAUCUUCCCACCUCACCACUGGCCCAAGAGUCAGGAGCUCAAUUAACGGUGGGGCCACCAAAUCCAUUCUGAGAGCGCCCCUGCCCUGCAGGCUGCACAGCCCCAGGCUCAUGCAUUUUAAUGAAAUCGGUGCCAAGAGCCCUCAAAGCGACGGUCGUGGAAGCGGCAGCCAGCCCAGGACCCAGAAUGGUUCCCAAUCAGCCCUUACUCGGGCAUAGAACUGCAGGAGGUGAUCACAAGCCACACCCAGACCAGGAUGGGUGAAUCCCGCAACCGUGCCCCAGGGCUCACGGCUAGUGGGCGGCUCACAUUUCCCUCUGUCAUCCCAAGAAAAAGCCCACCUCGCUUAAUUCAUGAGGAUAGAGCUUUACUAUACGCCCCCAAAAACACUCUCCAAAGAGACACUUCUUUUCUAUCUAGGAAAUAACAUUUUAAAAAAUGAAAAUAUUUUACAGGAAAUAACAUUUGUACAUACUCAUAACAGUCUCAGAGAGAAAACGGUUCCUCUACCCACGGAGUGCUUCUGAAAUCACGUGUGUGUGAGCCUUUCCCUCCACACCAAGCAGCUCUCCAACUCUCAGACACCAACGAGAUGUCCUACAGUUUAACUCGAUUCUGACACUAAUUGCCCGGCGCUAGUGCAGAACCCACAGGGUAAGGAGUCAGUCCCACGAGACCACCCCUACUUCAGAUGCCAAGUGCAGACGGUGCGCCCCGGGGUCCCCACGACCCCCUUCUCAGGUUCCAUAAUUUUUUUUUUGAGGUGGAGUCUCACUCUG